CCCUUCCGUAGGGUGAACCUGCGGAAGGAUCAUUACAGUAUUCUUUUGCCAGCGCUUAACUGCGCGGCGAAAAACCUUACACACAGUGUCUUUUUGAUACAGAACUCUUGCUUUGGUUUGGCCUAGAGAUAGGUUGGGCCAGAGGUUUAACAAAACACAAUUUAAUUAUUUUUACAGUUAGUCAAAUUUUGAAUUAAUCUUCAAAACUUUCAACAACGGAUCUCUUGGUUCUCGCAUCGAUGAAGAACGCAGCGAAAUGCGAUAAGUAAUAUGAAUUGCAGAUUUUCGUGAAUCAUCGAAUCUUUGAACGCACAUUGCGCCCUCUGGUAUUCCAGAGGGCAUGCCUGUUUGAGCGUCAUUUCUCUCUCAAACCCCCGGGUUUGGUAUUGAGUGAUACUCUUAGUCGGACUAGGCGUUUGCUUGAAAAGUAUUGGCAUGGGUAGUACUGGAUAGUGCUGUCGACCUCUCAAUGUAUUAGGUUUAUCCAACUCGUUGAAUGGUGUGGCGGGAUAUUUCUGGUAUUGUUGGCCCGGCCUUACAACAACCAAACAAGUUUGACCUCAAAUCAGGUAGGAAUACCCGCUGAACUUAAGCAUAUCAAUAAGCGGAGGAA
rnacentral:rRNA from 1 species